rnacentral:lncRNA from 1 species
GGUAUUAUUUGGCUUUAUCUUUAAGGUUUUUAUUUUGUCUCUUCAGUUCCGAGACUACCUCACAUUCUUGUCUUAAUUUUCAGCCAAUGCUCCAAGAGCUAGGGAAGCAAAAUCCUCAUUUGAUGCGACUUAUUCAGGAGCAUCAGGCGGAUUUCCUUCGUCUGAUUAAUGAACCUAUUGAAGGAGGAGAAGGGUAUCUUUCAUGUUUCCUUUUCUUUUUUUUUUUUUUUAAAUUACUGCAAUGCCUUACCGAGCUUUCAUGGUGGCUAUUAGAAGGUCAAUGAAUACAUCUUCACGUGCUAAUCUUUCCUUACAAUCAGGAACAUACUUGGUCAGCUUGCUGGAGCAAUGCCACAAACUAUACAAGUGACAGCUGAAGAGCGCGAAGCUAUCAGACGUGUGAGUGUCCUUCAUUCCAAGUCUUAAAUUAGUUUGAAUGUUUUUGACAAAAUUAGAUUUCUGAAUCUGGUCAUAGACUUAAUUUGCUUACCAUCAGCUGAGAGGAACUUGAAUCCUAUCUCAGUGGUGUGAUGGGUUGUGCUAUUUUUGGAAAUUAAAAAGCCAAUCGUUUAUGGAAUUUGUAUACCAGAGUCAAGAUCUUGGUUGGUUCUAAACUUUCGAUUUGCAAUUGUGCCUUUGAUGAAUAGUUAAUUUGUAAUUCCCUCAGCUUUAAAACAUGUAAAAAUGCACCAGUGUUCCAUAGUAAGUGGUAGUAAUGUUGCCUUUAAAAUUUUGCUUUUCCAGCUGGAAGAAAUGGGGUUUGAUCGCGCAACUGUGCUGGAAGUGUUCUUUGCUUGCAACAAGAAUGAGGAGCUGGCUGCUAACUAUCUCUUAGAUCAUAUGCAUGAGUUUGAGGAGUGAAAUUGACUCUUAAGGCUGUAUUCUCU